AACGAACGCUGGCGGCAUGCCUAACACAUGCAAGUCGAACGAGACCUUCGGGUCUAGUGGCGCACGGGUGCGUAACGCGUGGGAACCUGCCUUUAGGUUCGGAAUAACUCAGAGAAAUUUGAGCUAAUACCGGAUAAUGUCUUCGGACCAAAGAUUUAUCGCCUUUAGAUGGGCCCCGCGUAAGAUUAGCUAGUUGGUGGGGUAAAGGCCUACCAAGGCGACGAUCUUUAGCUGGUCUGAGAGGACGAUCAGCCACACUGGGACUGAGACACGGCCCAGACUCCUACGGGAGGCAGCAGUGGGGAAUAUUGGACAAUGGGCGAAAGCCUGAUCCAGCAAUGCCGCGUGAGUGAUGAAGGCCUUAGGGUUGUAAAGCUCUUUUACCCGAGAUGAUAAUGACAGUAUCGGGAGAAUAAGCUCCGGCUAACUCCGUGCCAGCAGCCGCGGUAAU
rnacentral:rRNA from 1 species